CGAGAUGGCAUAUGCUCGGAGGUUUAGCCGGGCAUUCCUAAAUCUCCUACAACGGGAAAUGAACAGCUACCCUUCUCCUGAACUUCAAGAAGAGUGUGAAAACUUAGAUCGGGGAGACACGCAACAGCAAGUAUCUGUUAUUGAAAGGGUGCCUUUUCCUGGCUCAGAUGAAACUGGUUACAGUCAUGGUUUGGAAAAAGUUGAAACAACUGAAAAUAGAGUCCUGGAGAAAACUAUAACAACUACCACAGAACUUGGAUACACAGUGUCAAAGACGGGAUAUGAUUAUGAGGAGGAUGAGUAUUUCACACAAGAGGAUGCUAAAGAAAAAAAGCCACAAGAGUAUGGAGAAGCUCAGGAGGAGAAUGAGGAAAACUUAGAGGCAACAGUAGAAACUAGGGCUGCCUAUAAGGAUUAUGGUAUGAUUUUAGAGCAUGAAAAACUCUUUGAAUUCAAUAGAAAGACUCUCA
rnacentral:lncRNA from 1 species